UUAAGCAUAUCAAUAAGCGGAGGAAAAGAAACUAACAAGGAUUCCCCUAGUAACUGCGAGUGAAGAGGGAAGAGCUCACAUUUAAAAUCUGGCGGUCUGGCGGCCGUCCGAGUUGUAGCCUGGAGAAGCGUCUUCUGCGCCGGACCGUGUACAAGUCUCCUGGAACGGAGCGUCGUAGAGGGUGAUAAUCCCGUCGUCGACACGGACCCCCGGUUAGCUCUGCGAGGCGCUCUCGAAGAGUCGAGUUGUUUGGGAAUGCAGCUCAAAGUGGGUGGUGAAUUCCAUCUAAAGCUAAAUACAGGCGAGAGACCGAUAGCGGACAAGUACCGUGAGGGAAAGAUGAAAAGCACUCUGGAAAGAGAGUUAAACAGCACGUGAAAUCGCUGAGAGGGAAACGCUUGAAGUCAGUCGCGUCGGCGUUAGGAGGUCAGCCUCCCGGGAUAAUAACCGUGGGGCGCACUCUCCCGUCGACGGGCCAGCAUCGAUUUCGACCGCCGGAGAAGGGCUCGGGGAACGUGGCACCUCCGGGUGUGUUAUAGCCCCCUGUCGUAUGCGGCGGUCGGGAUCGAGGUUUUUUACAUGUUCGCAGCACGCCUUUUUGGCCGGGGCCGUUCGCGGUCCACGUCCGUGCUUAGGAUGCUGGCGUAAUGGCUUUAAACGACCCGUCUUGAAACACGGACCAAGGAGUCCAACUCGCCUGCGA
rnacentral:rRNA from 1 species